AUUGAACGCUGGCGGCAGGCCUAACACAUGCAAGUCGAGCGGAUGAAGGGAGCUUGCUCCUGGAUUCAGCGGCGGACGGGUGAGUAAUGCCUAGGAAUCUGCCUGGUAGUGGGGGAUAACGUCCGGAAACGGGCGCUAAUACCGCAUACGUCCUGAGGGAGAAAGUGGGGGAUCUUCGGACCUCACGCUAUCAGAUGAGCCUAGGUCGGAUUAGCUAGUUGGUGGGGUAAAGGCCUACCAAGGCGACGAUCCGUAACUGGUCUGAGAGGAUGAUCAGUCACACUGGAACUGAGACACGGUCCAGACUCCUACGGGAGGCCGCAGUGGGGAAUAUUGGACAGUGGGCGAAAGCCUGAUCCAGCCAUGCCGCGUGUGUGAAGAAGGUCUUCGGAUUGUAAAGAACUUUAAGUUGGGAGGAAGGGCAGUAAGUUAAUACCUUGCUGUUUUGACGUUACCAACAGAAUAAGCACCGGCUAACUUCGUG
rnacentral:rRNA from 1 species